rnacentral:misc_RNA from 1 species
UUUCCGUAGGUGAACCUGCGGAAGGAUCAUUAUUGAAUGAACUUGGCUUGGUUGUUGCUGGCUUCUUUGGAGGCAUGUGCACACCUUGUCAUCUUUAUAUCUCCACCUGUGCACCUCUUGUAGACCUGGAUUCAACAUUUCCGAGGCAACUCGGUCGUGAGGAAUUGCUUAACCAGCUUUCCUUGGUAGUCUCCAGGCCUAUGUUUUUCAUAUACACCAUAAGAAUGUAACAGAAUGUAAUUAUUAGACUAGAUUGUCUUAUAAACUAUAUACAACUUUCAGCAACGGAUCUCUUGGCUCUC